GACACAAGGGAAGGGAGAGAGCAGGGCUGUCAGACCCCCUCAGCAUUCCUGGCAGAGGGCUUCCAGAGAGACACUUCUUCCAUGCCCCACAGCGGACAGCUAGCACCAUCCCUGACUUCCCUGCAGAGAUCCCAGCCCUGGGGGGAGGGAGCCCCAAUCCCAGCCCCAUCCGGAUACCGCGGCAGCAAGGCAGAGCAACUCUGCACAGUCAGCCCCAGCAGGGCUCUGCCUUAUGCCUUGAGGCCUUGUCUCAAGCACACAGAGGGUCUCUGUCUCUGUCACCCUGAUGUAGCAGCUGGGAAAACAGAAGCACAAGGAGACGCAGCAUCCGCCCUGGAAUGGUUGCAAUCUGGGGCAGGAUCUGAACACAGGACUCCUCCUAGCUUCCUUGGGUCUACCUCAGGGCCUGGUUCCUUUCCCUGGGGAGGCAUGAAAGGCUUACAGGCACCAAGAUCCCAAGGGGAGAGUCUGAAGGCUGGAGAGGAUGGCCUCCUCCCUAGGACCCCAUGGCCUUCACCUUCUCCUCAGGUGAGGACAGCCAUGUGGGGAUCCACAUACUACCCACACUGCCCAAACUUGUGCCCCAUUAUCGUUGCAGAGCCCUGCCUGGGCAGGAGCAGAAAGGAGGAGGGUGGUUGCCUCCAUCUGUCUGGGCUGUUGGCACUGUGGGUUUGAAGGUUGGUAGAGUCCAGGGGCCCCCCUGCUCUCAGAAAGCACUGCUGAGGCAGAGUGGGAAAGCGCUGAGGUUGAUGGAGAGCUUGAGGC